rnacentral:rRNA from 1 species
UACAGAGGGUGCGAGCGUUGUCCGGAAUCACUGGGCGUAAAGGGCGCGUAGGCGGCGCGGUAAGCGUGCGGUGAAAGCCCGGGGCUCAACCCCGGGUCGGCCGUGCGGACUGCCGGGCUGGAGCACUGUAGAGGCAGGUGGAAUUCCGGGUGUAGCGGUGGAAUGCGUAGAGAUCCGGAAGAACACCGGUGGCGAAGGCGGCCUGCUGGGCAGUAGCUGACGCUGAAGCGCGACAGCGUGGGGAGCAAACAGG